GGAUUCUCUUCUUGGGAGGCAAUGAACGAGGAGCACCCUCACCUUGCUGAGCCAGAAUUAAGUGUGGAGAUCCGAACCCAGUUCCUCCCACAUGCUAAGCUUGGAUAACUUCCUGAAAGACAGAAGUGCGAAGCAAGGAUUAGCAGAGAGGUGGGCAGCCUGGAGACAAGCAGAUACGGGCUGAGGGCCACUUCAGAGAGUCUUCGACAUAUCGCCAUAAAUUGUCUUCUGAGGAGGAAGCCAGAUCCAACAUCAAGUUCUAACAGUGAAGCCUGGAAGAAGAGA